GUGUGGUUGCCGGAGAGGACUCAGCCUGAGGAGGUCACUCGUCCACAGCCGCUCCUCCCAUUCUAUCUCUCCCCUUAUUGCAGAACUGCUGUAUGUACACAGUGGCAGAAAGGACUCAAUUGACUUCAACUGCUGCCUGGUUUUGCUUACAACUUUUUCUUAUAAAGGAACUUACCUCCAUCUGUCUUUUCAAGGUUGACAAGCCACUUCCUCUAAACUCCACAACUCAUUCUGAUGACUAUGGAGCCUACAUAGUUUCCAGUGAUAAAUGAUGAAUUUCAAACGUCUAAACUCGGGGCCAUUAAUUAAAAAGUGCUCAGAGCUGACACAUCCCAAAUAAACGAAGCUGCUCACCUCCAUUACCGGCUCUCGCUUAAUAAAAUUAAUCUGCCCCAGUAAGCAGAAGUCAGCAAGUCCGCAAUGGGAAUCACGCCGGUGACACAGGAAGACAAAUAGAAAUUCCUGACGAGCAUUCAAACUCCUUCUGAUGCGGGAGGAAAAAUAUGAGCACCGAGGAUCUCGCUAAGAAGAAGGGGAGUGGGGCCGCUGCCGAGGCAGGCACAGCGGAAAGGAGCUUCUUCUUCUCUGCUCCUGGCUGCUUCAUCCUCGGAGGACUAAAGAUUUGGAGGAAAUCAG